CCCUUAGAUGUUCUGGGCCGCACGCGCGCUGCACUGAUGCAUUCAACGAGUUACCUUGGCCGAGAGGCCUGGGCAAUCUUUUGAACGUGCAUCGUGAUAGGGAUAGAUUAUUGCAAUUAUUAAUCUUGAACGAGGAAUUCCUAGUAAACGCAGUUCAUCAAACUGCAUUGAUUACGUCCCUGCCCUUUGUACACACCGCCCGUCGCACCUACCGAUUGGAUGGUCCGGUGAAGCCUCGGGAUUGUGGCCAGUGCCUUUUUGGUUUUGGUUGCGAGAACUUGUCUAAACCUUAUCAUCUAGAGGAAGGUGAAGUCGUAACA
rnacentral:rRNA from 1 species